GACGAGGGGUCCUAGCGUUGUUCGGAAUCACUGGGCGUAAAGCGUAUGUAGGCGGGCUUCUAAGUCAGGUGUGAAAUCCCAUGGCUCAACCAUGGAAUUGCAUUUGAAACUGGAAGCCUUGAGUGUGGGAGAGAUUGGUAGAAUACCUGGUGUAGUGGUGAAAUACGUAGAUAUCAGGUGGAAUACCGGUGGCGAAGGCGGCCAAUUGGCCCAACACUGACGCUGAGAUACGAAAGCGUGGGGAUCAAACAGG
rnacentral:rRNA from 1 species